AAAUUGAAGAGUUUGAUCAUGGCUCAGAUUGAACGCUGGCGGCAGGCCUAACACAUGCAAGUCGGGCGGUAGCACAGAGAGCUUGCUCUC
rnacentral:rRNA from 1 species